rnacentral:lncRNA from 1 species
CCCCAUUUCGUCUCUCUCAACUCUUCAUCUCUCAGAGACAAAAGGAAACCCUAAGUUGCCACAAAAAACUCCAUGCUCUUUCCGAUGGCGGCGCCACCACCAAACUACCCCAAAUCAACACCCCAAACUCCCCUUCCUCCCUUCAUAUAUAAUUCGUCGUUGUUUCCCUUCGAAUCUUAAAUCCAAGUUCGACCUUUAAAAGUUUAAAAAACAUUUUUCAUCGAACCUGGUAGCAUGCAUGCUCAUAGGGUGUUGUUCUUUCGAGCUUUGAAGUUUGGAUUCAAAAAAAUUGAUGUCGUUCAGUUGUUCUUGACAAAUAACAAAGGAUCAACAUUAGUUUUGUUAGGUCAUUUGUCUCAAGUAGGUUUCGAGUCCUGAUUUGGUAAGUUCCCCCCCCCCCCCCCCCCCCUUUUUUUUUUUUUUUUUUUUUUUUUUUUUUUUUUUUUGUUUUUUUUUUUUUUUUUUUUUUUUUUUUUUUUUUUUUUUNNNNNNNNNNNNNNNNNNNNNNNNNNNNNNNNNNNNNNNNNNNNNNNNNNNNNNNNNNNNNNNNNNNNNNNNNNNNNNNNNNNNNNNNNNNNNNNNNNNNNNNNNNNNNNNNNNNNNNNNNNNNNNNNNNNNNNNNNNNNNNNNNNNNNNNNNNNNNNNNNNNNNNNNNNNNNNNNNNNNNNNNNNNNNNNNNNNNNNNNNNNNNNNNNNNNNNNNNNNNNNNNNNNNNNNNNNNNNNNNNNNNNNNNNNNNNNNNNNNNNNNNNNNNNNNNNNNNNNNNNNNNNNNNNNNNNNNNNNNNNNNNNNNNNNNNNNNNNNNNNNNNNNNNNNNNNNNNNNNNNNNNNNNNNNNNNNNNNNNNNNNNNNNNNNNGGUUUGUUCAUUCCUUUACUAUUUUAUUUCUUUAUUCUCCUUCGAUUUUACAUUGGUUUAGUUUUCUUCUACUAGCUUAUUUGAAAGUAGACCAAUCCUCCGGGUUUAAAUUGUCUUCUGUUCGUUGUUUUUUUUCUUUUUCCUUUGUAAAGGCUUGUUCAAUGUUUUCCUUAAUUGUGCUAUUAGCCUAUUUAAAGUUCUGAUAUCAUAUCUCGUUUAGUCACCUAGUUAAUUUAAUUAAGGUUAUUUUGAUAACUUGGUUAAUUUACUGCUUACUUGUGUGUAGUAAUCAGUCGAUUAGUGUAGGUUUUAAUUCUCAAAAUCAUUCAAGUGAUUGCCCUUUGUUUGUUGACUGAUAUGAUUCAAUUUCUUUUGUUGUUUGGACUUUGAAGCCAUUGCAUACCACACCCCAAUGGGGUUAGUUUAGGUCAUUGGGUCAGAAUUGAGCCCACAGUUGGUUUAACUAUGGGGGCAUUUUGAACCAUUUGGUUUCCUAGAGUAAAAAACAUGGUUUAAAGGGUUGAUUUAGGAACUCUAGGUGGGGAAAUCUCAGUAAGUGAUUGAGUAAGAUUCCUAGAAGUUUGGGUGGGGACCUAACUGAAAAUCGGAAUUUUACACCAAGGUUUCUAAUUAAAAAUGAAAAUAAAAAAAUGUCCUAAAGGCAAAACAUAGUUCAUCUCUGCAGACUUAAUACUUUGCCUAUAAAGGCAUCGUUUCUUUGCCAACAAGGGAAAUUUUGGCAGAUAAAAAUACUAAAAAAUUAAGCAGCUAGAGUUUUUGGGAGGAAAAGUCUGAAAAAAUAUUGAGCGAAAGAAGAAAGAACUUCAAAAUUCUUGUGUUUUUAGUGAACAAUUUGUCUAGUUUUGAGUUAGUCUCUUCAUUCUGAAACCAAAAAGGAUUUUCUUAGCUUAUUCUGGAAUGGAAGCUAGUUUAAGGGAUGUUGUGUCACUGUUCUAUUGAUGAAAUUCUGAAGUGCUUCCGUUGUUUGCUUCUUCUUUGUUGAACUACUACUACUGUUGUCAAAUAACUGCAAGAUCAUUGUAUUUAGUUUGGGACCAUUAUGAUACUUGGGAAAUAUUUUAGUUGGUUGAAUCGGUAGUUUUAGACUCUACAUUCCAUCGCUUAAAUAAUGUAAUUGGGUAGAUAAAUGUUUCUUUUAAGAUUCGUGUGUAUAAAAUCGUGUUGAGAGAAAAUGAAAAGGAAAUGGUCUAGUUUGCUUCAAUGGGUAAAAACAUGCAUUGAUUAGCAUGUGAAUGUCUUUAAACUUAGAAAUGGCUGUCAGUUCAAUUCUAGUUAGUGAUUGAAUAACUAGUAAUUGUCAGUUUAAUUUUGCUUCUAUUCAGUGUCAAUCUUACAGGAACUACUAAUAUGGGACUCAUUUGAUGUUUAAAUUCUCAUGUCAUUACUUCAAGUUAGCUUGAAACCUUAAUAUUUAAAGUUAUAUAUUAUCCAGCUAUCAAAUUGGAAUUUUCAAUUAUUUUCGAAAUUAUGUCAUUAUUAAAAUCUCAUGAAAUUGUCCAUUACGUAGUUAAAAGCUAUUUUGAAAAUCGUCUGCAUAUACAUUUGUGUUUUGGUGAUAGUAAUUCAGGUUCACAUCGGCACCCAUUGAUUUUUCAGAUGCAGCUUGGCUUUUAAGGAUUCGAAGUCGAGUCCUCACUUGCUAAUCUCAGGCUCCUGAAAGUUUUGGGCUCAUCUUGGACUUAAGUCUGAAAAGACUUGCAAAAUCGAAACUACGCACUUUGUAUCAUUUAGGUUUGUUUUGCUCUGUUGGCUCGGUUCUCUCGUUUGUUUGGGUUGUUGACGAAGUAAUGUCUCUUUAGGUAAUUGUUUGUUUAAUAAGACGCUCAUGGGUAGCUGAUUUAGUUCGAACUUUUAGCAUAUAGGUAUUUUGAAUGCCUUUAGGUUUCUCCUUAAUUAACUAGAUUUUUUAAAAUGAGUUGAGGUGUGCCAUAUUAGCCAAAUGUAUAAUUUGUGGCCCUUAUGAGCUUAUUUAGAAACCUUGUUUGUUAGAAAAAUCAAGGCGCGCCAUGCCAAGUAAAAGAUUCAAAAUGCACGGCCCUCAUUUAAUUGAUCUUGAACCUUUGGAAAUCGAGGUGUGCCAUUAGCUUAAUUUUCAUGGCCCUCGCAACCAAGCGGGGGAUAAUAUCAUUCAAGCAUAGCUUCAGGCAAGGGAAUGGAGUGGCACACGUUUUGGCAAAUGCAGCACUAAGAAAUAACUCUUUUGAUAAGCUAUACAGUUUUGGUACACCUCCUGAUUUUGAUAGGGCCGUCUAUGAGAAUGAUAUGGAGGACUAUGUUUAUGUUAGAACUAGUUGUAUUAAAUAAUGUGAAGAUUUAGCUGCACUAGGAAAUAUGAGUGCCAUAUGUAGCCUAAUGAUAGAUUCUAAUGAUGCAUGUAUGACAAACAUCCAUAGGGGAAACCAUCUCUCUCUACUUAACUUAAUAUGUAUACAUAUAUAAAAUAUGUUUUCUGUUUCAAAAAUAAAAAUGUGCUACUUAUCCCUCUCUAUGUAACUUAAUAUGUGUUUAUAUAUAUAUAUAUAUAUAAUAUGAUUUCUGUUUCAAAAAUAAAAAGGUGCUACUUCACAAUGCCUUAAAAGAAAAUCUUAAAUUAUAUUUAAUCAGAGAGCCAUAUUUACACAAAACCAUCCGAACCCUAAAAAAAAGGAGUGCAUUUAUUGUUGGUUGAUGAAGUUGCUGGACAGAAGUAAAUUUUUUUAAUUUUUGAGACGCAAAACUGGAACUAAUAGUACAGACGUGAAAUACCAUCAAAUAUGCAUAUGAAGUUUAAAUAGCAAGAGUAAUAGAGACGUAGCAGAAGAAAAACAUUUAAUAUCACAUUUUAAGGUAGCCUGCAAUAUCAGAAAACAUUUAAUACUAGCAUGUAGUUUCUUUAGUUGUUUCUGUAGAAAAGAAUUUGUUCUUUAAUUGCAAAUAACCAUCGGGAAGAUUUCACUUUUGUUUUGGGAUGUCAAACCAAGACUUGUCUAUUUUUCUCCCCCUCCACUAAUUAAUUUUCUUUGCUUCAUUUAACGUGUUCUUUGCAUCAUCAUUUCAGGUUCAAUAUCACGUUUUAAGGUACAUACAAAACUGGUAGCCUGCACAAUCAGAAAAUUCAUCCAGUGCAUUAAAGGCUUAGCUCUUCUUGGCAGCUAGCUUUUCUGGAUCUUUGAAAAGAAUGGAUUUCUGUAGAAAAGAAUUUGUUCUUUAAUUGCAAAUAACCAUCGAGAAUAUUUCACUUUUGUUUUGGGAUGUCAAACAAAGACUUGUCUAUUUUUCUCCCUCUUCACUAAUUAAUUUUCUUAGCUUUAUUUAACGUGUUUUUGCAUCAUCAUUUCAGGUUCAAUAUCACAUUUUAAGGUACAUACAAAAUUGGUAGCCUGCACUAUCAGAAAAUUCAUCCAGUGCAUUAAAGGCUUAGCUCUUCUUGGCAGCUAGCUUUUCUGGAUAUUCAAAACCCCUUCCACCAACACACCACCAUAACCAUCAGCGCCGUUUCCUGACCUCUUGUAUUCAGUAGGCCUCAAGUGAGGAAUUCUUUUUCCACUACGUACCCCUCUUCUUGGAUUUGGUAGCAUAUAUAUAGCUGUAAGUAAUUAGUCGUUGCACCAUUUGUUAUUCUUUCUUUGUUUUGUGGUUUGUAAGUGUUCACAUUUGCUUAUAAUCUUUGAUAUCGCAAUUCUUAGACUGUAAUAGGAGGUUUAGCUUUUUGGUUUUGACUGUUUAAGAGUUUAAUACUAACAUGUAGUUUCUUUAGUUGUUUUUGUAGAAAAGAAUUAGUUUGAUAAUUGCAAAUAACCACCGGGAAGAUUUCACUUUUGUUUUGGGAUGUCAAACAAACACUUGCCUAUUUUUCUCCCCUCCACUAACUAAUUUUCUUAGCUUCAACUGUACGUACUUGUUGAAGCCAUUUAAUUCUUUGCAUCAUCAUUUCAGGUUCUUUUUAUUAGUGUCCUACAUUAACAUUGUUCUCGCCAGUCUUUUCAGAUUGGGUUGAUCUGCUGAUUUGAUCAGGUAGCUAUUUAUAAAUUUGAGUUUGCAUUGCUAUCUAGUAAGAUUUGAAAAAUUCUAGUAGUAAUGAAUACUAAAGAAUUCCAUUAUGUCAUUCAGGUUAAGAUGUUGCGCCGCACAAUCAGUUGUCCAAUAGCCUAUUCCCAGAGGUAUAUUACUGCUCUCAAAACUUGAUGCUUAGUGAAAUAAUUAGAAGUAGAGUUGUAACAACAAAGGAGCUUUAGUGUUUCCAUAGACUUAAUUCCUUGGAUAAUUAUAGUUAUCAAAAUUAUAUAUUUAAUAAAGUUACCGUCCAUGAGAAGGAUAUGGAGGACUAUGUUUAUGUAUGAACUAGUAGUGUUAAACAAUGUGAAGAUCUAGCUGCACUAGGAAAUAUGAGUGUCAUAUGUAGCCUAAUGAUAGAUUCUAAUGAUGCAUGUAUGUCAAACAUCCAUAGGGGGAAACCAUCCCUCUCUAUUUAACUUUAUAUAUAUAUAUAUAUAUAUAAAAUAUGCUUUCUGUUUCAAAAAUAAAAAGGUGCUACUUCACAAUGCCUUAAAAGAAAAUCUUAAAAUAUAUUUAAUCAGAGACUCAUAUUUACACAAAACCAUCCGAACCCUAAAAAAAAGGAGUGCAUUUAUUGUUGGUUGGGAUGUCAAACAAAGACUUGUCUAUUUUUCUCCCCCUCCACUAAUUAAUUUUCUUAGCUUCAUUUAACGUAUUCUUUGCAUCAUCAUUUCAGGUUCAAUAUGACAUUUUAAGGUACAUACAAAAUUGGUAGCCUGCACUAUCAGAAAAUUCAUCCAGUGCAUUAAAGGCUUAGCUCUUCUUGGCAGGUAGCUUUUCUGGAUAUUCAAAAACUCUUCCACCAACACACCACCAUAAUCAUCAGCACCGUUUCCUGACCUCAUGUAUUCAGUAGGCCUCAAGUGAGGAAUUCUUUUUCCACUACGUACCCCUCUUCUUGGAUUUGGUAGCAUAUAUAUAUAUAUAUAUAUAUAGCUGUAAGUAAUUAGUCGUUGCACCAUUUUUUAUUCUUUCUUUGUUUUGUGGUUUGUAAGUAUUCACAUUUUGCUUAUAAUCUUUGAUAUCGCAAUUCUUAGACUGCAAUAGGAGGUUUAGCUUUUUGGUUUUGACUGUUUAAGAGUUUAAUACUAGCAUGUAGUUUCUUUAGUUGUUUCAGUAGAAAAGAAUUAGUUUGAUAAUUGCAAAUAACCACCGGGAAGAUUUCACUUUUGUUUUGGGAUGUCAAACAAACACUUGCCUAUUUUUCUCCCCCUCCACUAACUAAUUUUCUUAGCUUCAACUGUACGUACUUGUUGAAGCCAUUUAAUUCUUUGCAUCAUCAUUUCAGGUUCUUUUUAUUAGUGUCCUACAUUAACAUUGUUCUCGCCAGUCUUUUCAGAUUGGGUUGAUCUGCUGAUUUGAUCAGGUAGCUAUUUAUAAAUUUGAGUUUGCAUUGCUAUCUAGUAAGAUUUGAAAAAUUCUAGUAGUAAUGAAUACUAAAGAAUUCCAUUAUGUCAUUCAGGUUAAGAUGUUGCGCCGCACAAUCAGUUGUCCAAUAGCCUAUUCCCAGAGGUAUAUUACUGCUCUCAAAACUUGAUGCUUAGUGAAAUAAUUAGAAGUAGAGUUGUAACAACAAAGGAGCUUUAGUGUUUCCAUAGAGUUAAUUCCUUGGAUAAUUAUAGUUAUCAAAAUUAUAUAUUUUAUAUAGUUACUAGGUAUUCCUUGUAAAGCAUUGGCCGGUAAGGAUACCGACGUUUGCGGUCACUAUUGCGGUCGAUCUGAUAGAGAUGUAAUCUGAUCCCAACAAUAUCAAAUUAUUAAUAUAAACAACUCAACACCAAUAUUUACGAAAUAUCAACAAAAAAGAAGAUGAAACGUAUAAAACAUUAAAGAAUCACUAAUACAACUGAUAAAAUCCAAUACCUCGAAAUCCCAAAAAAUAUGAAGUAAAUGAACAAACUACGAUGUAUCACAAAAUUAAAAGCAAUAAAAGAGUUAAAUAAACAAAGUCACAACAACAACAACAACAACAACAACCCAAUGUAGUCCUACAAGUGGAGUCUGGGGACGGUUGGAUGUAUGCAACCUUACCCUACCCUGGAAGGAAAGAGAGACUUUUUUCGAUAGCUCAAAAAAAUCAAAUAGCAAGUGAUGACAACUCAUAAAUAAAAACACGGUUAUAAAAAAACAAUUAACAAGUAAGGCAUGCAACAGAUAAAGGCAUGAUUCGACAAGUAAUCGCGAUUAAAAUUUUUAAGCAUAUAAGAGUAUAUUUCACAAUAAAGGUAGAACAUGUACUAACAACUUCAAUUUAAUGCAUGAAAUAAGACUAAGAGUCUGAACCGAACAAAUACCACAUAUAAGCCCGUGUACACACCCAUCACCUCGUGUACUCGCCUUUCUCGCAAUUCAAAUAGUACAAUCAACCCAAAUCUUAAGGGGUGGUUUCCCCUACACAAAGUUAAGCAAGAUACUUACCUCAAUUACGCUAAUUCGAAACCCAAAAUAGCGUUUUCUUUAAAAGUUACAUCCGCCUCGUUUAAAUCUAGCAAAAACUAACUUAAUAAUAUCAAAAAAUACAAGGGAACCAAUUCCAAUUAAUAGAGCUAUAAUCUUUAUAUAUUUUUUCAAAAGUCAAAAUUAGGCUCACCCGGUAAAAACCCGAGUCGAAGGGUAGCCAUAGCCCUGCGAGUUCAUAUAUAUGGUUUGUUUUCAAUUCCGAGUCAAAUUUCUCUUAAAUCUUAAAUUUUUAUUUUUCAGAUCAUAAUAAAAAAUCCCUAAAUUUUCCCUUCAAAACCCAUGAAUUUGACGUUAAAUCUCAUAAAUAAUCAUGUAAUAUAAUUAAAAAUGGAUUAAAGUGACUUAUCGAAUAGUUUGGUAUGAAAAUCUCUCAACAAAUUGAAAUCGCCUCCCGCCAAGUCUGGGAUUCCAAAUAUGAUAAGAUGAAGGUAAGUCCUGAAAUACUCAGCGAUUAACAAACUGCACAAGUGACAUGCGCAAUUGCGGAAAAAGGAUCACAAAAGCGAAACCUAGCCAGACCUACUAAUGUCGCAUUUGUUACAAUAAACUUUGCCAUUGCGAAGGUGUUUCCCCGUAGAGGCUCAUUGCAAAAGCGACUCUAGUGCCCCAAAAGCUAGCUCCAGUGUAUAUAAUUGUGAUACAAUCCCCGUAAAUGCGAGGUCCCUUCCCCAGCAGUCCUGAUUCACAACUGCGAGAUGAAACCACCACCCUCACACAAAAUUCUAACAAAAUACAUAUAAAACUCACCUGACCCCUGGGGGAUCCACAUCAAACAUUCACACAAGUCUAAAAAUAUUAUACGAACUCGAUCACACGAUCGAAAUACUAAAAUAGCAUCCACAAGAACUCUAUCACACGAUCGAAAUACUAAAAUAGCAUCCAGAACCAUCGAUCGGACACCAAAAUGCAUGAAAAUCACUAUGUGCUUUAAGAACUUCUUGAAUUGAAACCAAGCGUCCAAAUAAUAUCACACCAAUUUUAAAUGAUUCCAAAUUUUGCAGACGAGUUCUAAAUAGAAAAACGGAUCUAAUCCAUGUCCCAACACUAAAAACUGAACCCGAUAACCUUAAAGUUAAACCAUGGUCAAACUUAGGUAAAUUUUGAAUAUUUAAAUUGUCAACUUUCGGCAUAACAAGUCAAAUCAGUCUAGGGAUCUCUAAAUUAAAUUUCGAAAAUAUUGUCGAAGUUCAAAAUAACCGUACGAACCCAACUAAAACAUCAAAACUCUGAUCCGAGAUUAAAUAAGUAGAAACUUAAACUUUUUUGCACUUUUAAUUUUUUUGUAUAUAUAUUAUGGAGGUGUACAUUGUGUACUUGUUUAUGUUUUUUGUUCAAUCUUACUCUGUCAUAUUUCUUGUUACAUGAUUGAUUUGAAAAGAUUACGAUGAACUAAUUAAGAUUUCCAUCAUUUAGAGAAUUAAAUAUGUUGCAGCGAGGAAGGAGUUGUCCGCCAUCCUUUUCUGAGAGGUAAAUUCUAAAAAUUAACAGUCUCCUCUAUUUAAACAUACGUUUUUCCUCGAAUGUUCCAGGAGUCGUUCCAAAGCUAUCAAAUCACUGCAUAGGCUUUAUCUUAAGGAUACAAUGUCUUGAAGUUUUGAACCGAGAAAAACUGAACUUUGGGAUACAAGACAUUGUAUCCUUAGGUUCAAGCUUAUGCAGUGACUUGAUAGCUUUGGAACGACUCCAGGAACAUUCGAGGAAAAACGUAUGUUUAAAUAGAGGAGACUGUAACGAACCAACUAGUCAUUUUAAGCAUUUGCAAUUUGUCCGGCGGUUUGAGGUCGCGAAUAGCUUCACAUGGUGUAUUUUUUGAAUAUCGAGUGGUUCGGGAUUGAUUUGGGUGAAUGUUUCUCAUUUUUGAAGGUUUAAGUUGGAAGAUCGAGUGGUUCGGGAUUGAUUUAGGUGAAUGUUUCUCAUUUUUGAAGGUUUAAGUUGGAAGGGUAGACCAAGUUUAACUUUCUACUUAUUUAAUCUCGGAUCAGAGUUUUGAUGUUUUAGUUGGGUUCGUACGGUUAUUUUGAACUUCGACAAUAUUUUCGGAAUUUAAUUCAGGGAUCCCAAAACUGGAACUAAUAGUACAGACUUGAAAUACCAAAACAAAAGUGAAAUCUUCCCGGUGGUUAUUUGCAAUUAUCGAACUAAUUCUUUU